GUUGAAAAACCAGUUUCCAUAUGAUCAUUGAAGUUAAGCAACGUCGAGACGCGUCAGCACCUAGAUGAGUGACCACUUGUGAAUACCAGGUGCUGUAAG